CUUUAUUGUCAGCUCGUAUACGGGAGAUGCUUCCACUGAUAUAUGUGUCACAAACGACCAUAGUAUUGUACAAGGCCAAGAACGAUUUCACCACCUCAGCACACGAUACAGGAACAGGGAAGUCCAGAACUGGUAGAAUUAAUUCUGGAUCCAGGGAGCGGCCACUUUGAGACAUGCGAAAUCCUAAAUCAGUUAACUCCUCAUCCAUACGGGCUGGGCUUCGAACGACCUCUAGCAUUCGAUAUUUGAUUGAACACUUCAUUUAAAAUUCGAAAGUGUUCCUCUUACUUUUGGAGAAUAUGAGGACAUCAUCUAUGUAACUCUUCACACCCCAAAUAACACUCCAUGGCCUCUCUUGAGAUCCCUGCACAAUAGCAGGAGCCGAUACAAGAACAUAAGAGAAAAUCCAGACCUGAGCAUGGUUUACAAAUGAUUAAGUUGGAUGAGGGAGUGGGUAUAAUAUCUUGUUCCUCACUAGAGAAAUAGUUAGGGUAAGUCGGCACCAACCUGAACACAGCCAUCUGGUUUGAGGACCAAAAACUAUAGAAGAGGCCCAUUCUGAAGAAUUAAUCUCAGAAAUGGUACCACGUUUUUCCAUCUCUCGAAUCUCUGAAGGGAUCUUCUCACGGACUGCCAGCGGCACUGAACGGGCUCUAGUAUAUCGUGGACAAAUAUUGUCCUCAAGGUGAACCACUGCCUGAGACCUUCUAUCAGGAUUUGAUAUACUCAACAGCAUUGUAUGCGUUAGGAGAAUUGAGCAGCUUAACCAAACCAAAAUCCAAGCAAUCCUGAAAACCUAGGAUUUGGUGCCCAAUAGGAAACAUAAUAAACUUACGACGGUCAGGUUAAGAACCAUUUAAUUUAAUAAACAACCUGACAGAGCCCAGAGUCUUGACUUUUCCACUACCAAAGACCUCUAACGGACCAGUAUUCUUGACAACCUUUGACAUGUCCACCAGAUAUUUAGGAAGGCAAAGGCUCUAUCCCCUAACCCAUCAUUUAAUUGGAAUGAGAUAGAUGAAAUGGAAGGGACAUAUUUCAUAAAGCAUAACCAAAAAUGGCUAAGAUUCCCACACCGGGUAUAUUCCUUGCCAAAUGUAGGGCAUUUUGACUUCUGGAAAACAUGAUUUCUCCCACAAAUUUUGUUAUUCCCUCUGUUCAUCCUUGGAUUAGCCUUGGAGGCAGACCACAUCCCUUUUGAACGAAGGAUCCCAUUUGGGACCUUUCAUUCGAUUGCCAUGAUAGCUUCACUCGAUCCCAUUUCCUUGGUGUGGCUGAUAAAGGUUUCCAACGUCUUGCAUUGGGCAAUACCUCUGUCAACUUUGUGCUGCCCCUUUCGAAGACAGUUUGGCGGAGCCGUGGGGACAACGUGUUCUUGACCAAUACAUUGAGAAUAAUUUUGUCAUCGAACAAGACCUUGCUGCUCCCUCACAAAAAAAGGCCACACAACUGAGUUACGUAGUCAUCCAUAUGCUCCUACCUCCCUAUUUCAUCUCAGACAGCCAGAAAGAUAUUUUAUUAAACACAUGCUUAACCUACUUGCGACAAAUUAACUUUCUAACCACCUAAUUUCAUUUUUUUAAAUAAGGUCUUCAUUUAUACUGCUCAUAAUGCACAUACAGAAUUAAAACAAGAUAAAAUGUUAGGAAGAAUUGCGUUAUAAGAAAAUCAUAAAUAAGGAAUAUUGCUUAAAAUUAGACUACCUAAAUAAGGCCUAACAACUUACAAGUAUUGAUUUACUAAUUAAUCAUAACAAAGAUAAAAUUAUGUAAAACUACUAAAAAAAUACUCACUUUAAAACGUUGAUCUCAUCAUAAAAUGUUCAUACCAUCGGACAAUCCUCUUCGACGUCGUUGAGUAUUGGUGAAAAUUACAAAUACGAUACCGAAUCCCCUCAAGGGCGUAGACUUAGAGUUACCAUCCAAGCUUGGGAUUUUGAGAUAAAAAGCAGAAUAUCUCGUGGCGGCAGAUAUAAUUAUUAACCUUAAAUCACACCUGCGCAUGUUUUCAAGUUUAGUUACCUUUGUGCGAUGAGAGCCUUGACACUUAACAAAGCAAAAUGGAUGGCUUGACUUUCGUAUGACGAUUUUCUGGAUGAAAGACCGAAUAAAAUGAAGGCUUUAGUUUCCCCUAUGUUGUGGAUUGUCAUUUCUAUGUUCAAUGAUAAUAACUCUUUAAGUAUAUCCUCAAAAUGGCAAUCAACUAAAGAAUGCUGAAUACUUUUAAAGAGCUUCCUGCAAUCCUUACAAGGACUAUUGAAAAAUAAGUAAUUUAUAGAUAUCUGGAAUUGUGAUGUAAAUAUAUUUCCUACUCCACGCAGGGAUUCCCUA
rnacentral:lncRNA from 1 species